GACGAACGCUGGCGGCGUGCUUAACACAUGCAAGUCGUACGGUAAGGCCCUUUCGGGGGUACACGAGUGGCGAACGGGUGAGUAACACGUGAGUAACCUGCCCACAACUUUGGGAUAACGCUAGGAAACUGGUGCUAAUACUGGAUAUGUGCUCCUGCUGCAUGGUGGGGGUUGGAAAGCUCCGGCGGUUGUGGAUGGACUCGCGGCCUAUCAGCUUGUUGGUGGGGUAGUGGCCUACCAAGGCGGCGACGGGUAGCCGGCCUGAGAGGGUGACCGGCCACAUUGGGACUGAGAUACGGCCCAGACGCCUACGGGAGGCAGCAGUGGGGAAUAUUGCACAAUGGGCGCAAGCCUGAUGCAGCAACGCCGCGUGCGGGAGGACGGCCUUCGGGUUGUAAACCGCUUUCAGCAGGGACGAAGCUUUUUGUGACGGUACCUGCAGAAGAAGCACCGGCUAACUACGUG
rnacentral:rRNA from 1 species